GCAUCAGUGGUUCACUGGCAGAAUUCUCACCUUCCAUGUGGGAGACCCGGGUUCUAGUCCCGGCCAGUGCA
rnacentral:tRNA from 1 species